GCCUGACACCCUACAUAUCGAACCCAUCAACACAUGGGCCGGGACCUACGGCUUUACUUCCUAUCCGAGGGAAGGCGUGAUCAGAUAUUUUUGUCUCAGAAAUACCGACGGCGUCGACUAGGAUUGAACCUAGACCGACUGGGGUGAGAGGCAA